rnacentral:rRNA from 1 species
GACAGAGGCCUCAAGCGUUAGGCGGAAUCACUGGGCUUAAAGCGUGUGUAGGCGGAUGCCUAAGUACCUUGUGAAAUCCCACGGCUCAACCGUGGAACUGCUGGGUAUACUGGGCGUCUUGGGCCAUUCAGGGGCGACUGGAACAAGCGGUGGAGCGGUGAAAUGCGUAGAUAUCGCUUGGAACGCCGAAGGUGAAAACAGGUCGCUGGGGAUGUGCCGACGCUGAGACACGAAAGCCAGGGGAGCAAACGGG